rnacentral:rRNA from 1 species
GACGAACGCUGGCGGCGUGCUUAACACAUGCAAGUCGAACGAAGUGGCGAACGGGUGAGUAACGCGUAAUCAACCUGCCCUUCAGAGGGGGACAACAGUUGGAAACGACUGCUAAUACAGCAUACUGAAGGAGGGGAUUGCGUCUGAUUAGUUAGUUGGAGGGGUAACGGGCCACCAAGGCGAUGAGCAGUAGGCGGUCUGAGAGGGUGAACCGCCACAUUGGGAAUGAGGAACGGCCCAAGCUCCCACGGGGAGGAGCAGGGGGGAAACUUCCGAAAUGGACGAAAGUCUGACGGAGCAAUGCCGCGGGAGUGAUGACGGCCUUCUGGUUGUAAAGCUCUGUUAAUCGGGACGCGGUACCGGAAUAGAAAGCCACGGCUAACUACGUGCCAGCAGCCGCGGUAAUUC